UUUAUAUUAUAAUUAUUAAUAUUAUCAUCAUCGUUGUACACGUCUUCUUGUAUCUCGGUGUCGAUUUACAUUAUGCUAUGUGAAACAGCCACAUAUAUAAAACAACUAUAGAUAACCGACUCUAUGAGUAAUUAAUCUGAAGGUUGGCAUUCAUAUUAUACCAAAAGCCAAAUUUUACGAGUUGAAAUAUUUGUUAAAUUAUUUUAAUACAACUGUUAAUAUGAAAAUAAUUGAAAUCAAUCACAAAUUGUAUCUAUACCAUCGCACAUGGCCAUAAAAGAAUAUUGCUUGUGUUCAAAUCAAUACGACGUGUCCUCUUUUACUUGCAGUGCCAAUAGCUGUUUAUACCUCUUCAGGUACUCUAUCGAAGAGUCGUGUAUCAUCUAUAGUAUUGUUUUACAUUGCGGAAACUACAAAGUAAAACGUCUAUUAUUAUCUAUACAUACUAUACAAAUAUUAUAUAUUUUAACUGUGUACAGUACACUUGAAUGAUAUAUCUAUCUGAAAUCCAUAUAUAUUUAUAUAUUAUUAUAUUCCGUUGUACAACUUUAAUAAUAAUAAUAAUAAUGUAGUACAAUCAAAUAUAUAUAACAAAAUGUAUAGGCUAGUAACCCGGUGGUUUGUCUGCAACGGCCCGUUCGAAACCAGCUCCUCUCUUCGCAACUAUAGAGAAACGCAAAGAAAUCGAUAUGCACGUCAAAACUUAUGUAUGUAUAUAUGUGUGUGUGUGUGUGUGUGUGUGUGUGUGUGUGUGUGCACGCGUAUGUGUGUGUGUGUGUGGUUUAUGUGUGUAUGUGUAAAUGAGUGUCGGUCAAAAGUUUUCGAGAACUUUGCUGGCGCUCACGUAACAAUAUAUACGAGUAUAUGCGUAUGAAGCGAAAAGACCAAUUCU